GGCCUAUUAGCUUAGUUGGUUAGAGCAUCGUGCUAAUAACUCGAAGGUUGCAUGUUCGACACCUGCAUGUGCCA